CUAGGUGCCACAUGCCUGGUCGCUGGUCAUCCUCACAAUAGCCGUCGGUUUGGUGCUUAGCCCCUCCUUCUUCAUGUACGCAAGCCAGAUGAAGUGGUCUUAGCUAGACAGACCUAGCGGGUGAAGCUAAUCUAUGGUGUGUGGGAAAGGAUGGCAUGCAAAUGCUUGCACAUAGUGGGAUAGCAGAUCCAGACCCAUGUACUUUGUUCUUCCCGUAGUAGUUCUCCUGUACUCCCGUGCUUAUCACUGAAUCUUCACUUUUUCCUUUGUCCCCAUAUGGUUGCAGACAGACCUAGCGGGUGAAGCUAGCUUGAUUGGUGCUUUCCAAGCAAGACUGUUGUGUUGCGUUUCACAUCUAGGCAUGAAUGUAACAAAGGUUUGUGCGAUGCGUAGUUGUAACAUUAUCAUGACAAUCAUUGGUAUGCGUGAAAGCAAGGUUUUUGAAGGAGAAUCUCUAGAACCAAGACAGCGUUGUACAAAGGGGAGUGUUGCGAACCGACUAAACCUGUACCGUCAUUAGCGAACCGUCAUUAGGAUGUGAUUAGUCCGUUAUUAGUCUAAGCGUCGUACUGACGCGUCCGUACGGGCGCCUUUUGUACAGACGCCUUUUACUCGUGUCACAAAUUCUUGUAUAUAUAUUUUAGAUCAAUGACAGAGAGAUGAUUCGCACAACACUUUGCUUUUCAUUCCUAAACAGGUAGGACCAACUAUCGGGAAAGGUAGGGUGUAUGCCGACUGAAAAUGUGUCGGGAAGUAAAUAACUGUCGGCAAUACUUUCGCUCAUAGCAAGUUCUCUGACUGUUCCGCCUUGUGUUAGCAUUGUUGUUAGCUACAACUCAUGUGUCGGUAAAGGUACCCUAUGCCGACAUAUUGGUGUGUCACGAAAGCUUUACCGUGGUGUAGUGUUCCCAUGUAUAUAUACUUCGUGUUUGAUGUAUCAUUAGUUGAGAAAAGAGCAAUAAACAAAGAAAAAAGUGGUGUAGUGUUCCAUGUAUAUAUACUUCGAGUGUUUGAUGUAUCAUUAGUUGAGAAAAGAGCAAUAAACAAAGAAAAAAGUGGCAUGAGACGUGCCAUUGGUCCUAUCAUUUUUUGUGCGCGUGUACAUUUGUUUUAGAACUUUUGCCAAGAAAAAAGAAAACUUAAAUAUGACAAGUGCAUGAGCCAAGUAAGCUGGACAUGUUGUACAUUAUUUUCAGGAUUCAAAAAAUGAAGGCCAACGUUUUGGCGAAACAUUGAUUAAUUUUCGUUUUGCCAAAUUUCUCGCAUUCAAUAUGUUCAUUUUUUUUAGCAAAGAUCAUGCCAAAUGCUUCUGUUCAUUUUCACCCUUUGUUAAUAAUAAUAAUAAGUGCCUCACAUGAUUCAUGAAGAUCAUGGUGCAUCCAACGUGCCAAAUCUGCAUUGGUGAUUGUUUGGACACUUGGAAACUGCAAAGGAUUUUAGAAUCUUUUUGAAGGAGGGGUUCAAGAAAUCGGUGGUAACGGUCUUUAAAUUCAGCAUGUAGUUAUAACCAUUUUGCAUUCAUUUACUUUCAUUACCACUAAUUUGGUUCGCGUUUUACAUAAUUGUUGCAUAGUGUGUCCCAUGCAAUGCAAGGGUGAAAUUUAACAAUGCAAUAGGUGAUACUUUGCUCUUUAAGGAUCAUAAGGGGUGGUCAUUUCAAGUUGAAGUGAAGAAAGGAAAGCAGAAAACCAUGACAUGCGGCGAUGGAUGGAUGAAGUACAUUUCAAAAAAUAAGCUGAACGGGUGAGAGUACAUAGCCUUUUACUUAGAAGGGUCGGUCAACAGGUUAAGGAUUAUCUAUUUCUGCAACCAAGAUGAUGAGGAUGGUGAAGAUGAUCAGCAUGAUGAGAAUAGUGAGGAUGAUGAUGAUGAUGAGGAUAGUCAGGAUGAUUAUAAUGAUGUUCCAUUUAAUUCUCCAAUUUUCUCUCAAAGAAUGAAGAAGCAUACACACAAUGAGAGGAACAAUCUCUUGGCGGUCCUACCACCAACUGAGAACUACAUGGGAGUGCCCCUUGUGCACUGUUUAACCAAGACAAACAUCGUCAAACAUGUCAUGUUUCUAUUAUUUCUUCUCUUUUUUGUUUAUGUAACACUAAAAUAGAGCAAACCUUGUAUUGUCUAAUCAUUGUGAUCAUAGAAAUUACCCGCGAA